AGUCUCUCUGCCCUUAUAGCAGCCUGUCCACUGUCCUCACAGCAGGGGAGAGCUGAUCAAUGCUCCUUCAUGCUGUGCUCAUUGCCCUGUCCUUAGGGUGGUCUGAGAAUCCCAUCCCCCCCCCCCUUUUUCCAGAGACAGAACAUAGUCUAGACUCACCGGGCAGGAGGAAGUCAGAAAACCCUGUUCUUUAUUUUUUUAAAUUAAGUUUACUGGUACAUUUUAGGUAUACAAUACAGUUACAUUCAUCAUUGGGAUCUUGUACCUUUACAUGAUGUAUCUUGGUUCUUAUUCUUUUCCGAUUCCUCUGCCCUCCCUUCACCCCCUCAAAUCUUCCCUAUUUACAAAGACUUUGUUUCCAUAUUUUUCCUUCUCUAGUAGUUCUGAUCCUUGCUUCACUGAUGGUUUUUCUAGGGCAUGGGGGCAUGGAAACAUCACUUGGUUGCAUGAGCUGCUCAUUCUGUUUUGCAGAAACAGUAAUAUAUUUGGUUUCCCACUUACCUGCCAGAGUGGGUUAGAAUGAAUGAGACUAGAUCUGUCUGGAGAAAGAGGUUAUUUGGACAUCCAGUCUGGUUUCCUCAAAUAGGGCAGCAGAAAGUUGCCAGGGCUCCCCCAAAGGCCAGGCGAGCCCAGGAGACUGGAGCAUUACGCUUUACUCAGACAGUGGAGACCACGCCUGUCUCCCCAAACAGCCCUGUGUGUGUCUGCCUUGAUGAUGCAUUUGUGCCGGUCGGGGAGUUGGACCUGCAGCAGAAGCAAAUGGUUGCCAGUCACCACUUUCCAUACAGAGCAUCAGCCAUGCAGGCUUCUGACUCACACUACACUCACCUGCACUCCGAGACUCGGGCACAGGGAGCUCCGGCUUCCCAGUGUGCUUCCCUUAGUAAUUACAGAGGCCCCCAACACUGCAGCUCACACAGAGCCUGGCCUUUGUGGCUGGAGUCGGACCCCAACACUCUGCUCCCCAAUCGCAUGCCCAGGGUGUGCACUGCCUUCUCUCAUUCUCCUCCCACUGAGGCACUUCCCAGCUGAGUUCUGCCUUGCCAUGCCCCACAUCUCCCACAAGGGGGAGCCCCCGGAGGGCAACUGGGGCUGAGGAAUUUUGGAAGCGCUGAAGUUUUCGACUCCUGUCCUGCAACUGGUUUUCACUCACCCAACGGUGAGAUUUCUUUGUUGCAGUGUUGGAGUCUGAGAUAACACUGCCGGAAGCUGCAGGCGAGAACCUUAGCUCAUUCUAUCUUUUAUUGUGUGUUGUUGUUUACCAGCAUUCUAAACUAAGAAGGAAAAGUAAUAAAGACAUGCAGGACUCACAGGCCCUGGAUGAAGACUGCCAGCCUCAGACAGAACCAGCACGUCUGAGGGACAACCAGGAGGUGCCUUUGGCUGUGGAGCUCAGGAUAUGAAUCAGAGAGAAAGAACUGAAGACUUGUCCCAGGAAGAAAGGGGAGGACUGGCAGUAGAUUUUUCACUGGUUUGUCUUUGGAAAAGACUGAGAAGAACUGUUCAAGGUGAAAUGAAGAUAUAGAAGAAACAACCGUGAUCUGUUUAGUUGUGAAUGGGCUCUUGUUGGAAGACAGAGGACUGAGUCCCAUAUCUUCAACUUUUAUAUUUGGAGAUACUAAAGUACAGUUUUGCUCAGUUACCCAGCAAGUGCUUCUUGGUCACCCUUGGGUCUACUAGGUGCUGGAAGGACAUUCCAAUGGCAAGUGCUAUAUCCUGGAAACCUCUUCAGUCCUAGGAAAAUUCAAGGAGAUUGGUCACCCUAAUACCUGCUGUUUUACUGUGUUCGCCACAUAGGCAAUAGAUAUAAAGACACCAGUGAAUUAUUUGAAGAUAUGGGUCUACAAGAUGGAUGCAGAUUUAAAAAAUAAGAUUCCUAAGAAGUUACCUUUUUCAGCUCCCACUCUGUUCUCCAGGAGACACAGGGGCAGGAAGAACAUAGCAUGCUCAUUAACGCUGAUGACCCUGACCUGACUGGAACCCAAGAUGGCGUGUUGGCCAGCAGCGUGGAAUCAGUGGAUUCUUCAAUGGAGACAGGUCGAAUUGUGUCACAUCCAGGAAGUCACUUCUGUGAAUGAUAAUUCUAUAGUGUUUCACUGCUUGUGCACUUUCCUCAUGUUCAUGUUCUCAGAGAUAUGAAAUGGCACAAGUCAUUUUGGUCUUCAACUGUGGCAGCUACUUUUCCAGGUCUUCACGUGCCAGCCCCUCAGCUGAUCUCCCACUUCACUGGUGAUAUAUUACUCCAGAACAUCUUCAUCCCUACAAAGAAAGUUAACCAGGAUUGUCAUACAAUUGAAAUGGGCCAAUAAUUCUGAGUGAGGCUCCAAGGAGAAAGGCAGCUGGGUGUUGUGGAGAGAUCGAGAUAGCUGCUUGGAACAUUCUAAAGUGUUCUCUAGUAUUAGAUUAGAUGCGGUAAUGCUAGAGUAUUUAGGUAUUCUAAAGUAUCUCCAGCUCAGCCUCCAGAAAGCUGAAGUUGAAGAAAUACUGGUCUCUGGAUGAGAGAGCCGCUGCUGUCUUCACACUGGAGAUUAUUAGCUCCCAAGUUACCUCCUAAUUUAGGGAUAGAAAACAAGAGUAUCAUUCUGGAAAGUGGAGAUAUGAUAGACAUUCCUGAAAUCAACCUGAUAAAAUAAAAAAAAUUACAUAAUGUAACAGUAUAAAAAAUAAAGAUAUCCUACUCCUGUCCUGCAUGCCUUCUCCAAAAUACACAUGUAUAUUGUUAAUUUCCCUGAAGGUCAUUUUCUUACAUCAGAGUAAAGUGGUUUUUCACUCCACCACACUGUGAUUCCUGUCAUUUUUCAGAGCUUCUGAGUUCUGUCCCCAGUGAGUAACAAAACAGAGCCCAGAAGAGCCAACCACUGAAGAGUAAGUCACAUGCACAGC
rnacentral:lncRNA from 1 species